AGGGACAUUACUGAGUUACCGCUCUACAACCCUUUGUGAACAUACCUAACCGUUGCUUCGGCGGGCAGGGGAAGCCUCUCGCGGGCCUCCCCUCCCGGCGCCGGCCCCACCACGGGGACGGGGCGCCCGCCGGAGGAAACCAAACUCUAUUUACACGACGUCUCUUCUGAGUGGCACAAGCAAAUAAUUAAAACUUUUAACAACGGAUCUCUUGGUUCUGGCAUCGAUGAAGAACGCAGCGAAAUGCGAUAAGUAAUGUGAAUUGCAGAAUUCAGUGAAUCAUCGAAUCUUUGAACGCACAUUGCGCUCGCCAGCAUUCUGGCGAGCAUGCCUGUUCGAGCGUCAUUUCAACCCUCAAGCACCGCUUGGUUUUGGGGCCCCACGGCAGACGUGGGCCCUUAAAGGUAGUGGCGGACCCUCCCGGAGCCUCCUUUGCGUAGUAACUAACGUCUCGCACUGGGAUCCGGAGGGACUCUUGCCGUAAAACCCCCAAAUUCUUUACAGGUUGACCUCGGAUCAGGUAGGAAUACCCGCUGAACUUAAGCAUAUCAAUA
rnacentral:rRNA from 1 species